AGAAUCAACGCUGGCGGCGUGCCUAACACAUGCAAGUCGAACGCGAAAGUCCCGAAAGGGAUAAGUAAAGUGGCAAACGGGUGAGUAACACGUGGGUGACCUGCCUUCGAGCGGGGGAUAACGUCCCGAAAGGGACGCUAAUACCGCAUAACAUCCUGCCUUUUAAGAGGUGGAGAUCAAAGCCGGGGACCGCAAGGCCUGGCACUUGAAGAGGGGCCCGCGUCUGAUUAGCUAGUUGGUGGGUAAUGGCCUACCAAGGCAACGAUCAGUA
rnacentral:rRNA from 1 species